AGUGAACGCUGGCAGUAGGCCUAACACAUGCAAGUCGAACGGCAGCACAGUAAGAGCUUGCUCUUACGGGUGGCGAGUGGCGGACGGGUGAGGAAUACAUCGGAAUCUACUUUUUCGUGGGGGAUAACGUAGGGAAACUUACGCUAAUACCGCAUACGACCUACGGGUGAAAGCAGGGGAUCUUCGGACCUUGCGCGAUUGAAUGAGCCGAUGUCGGAUUAGCUAGUUGGCGGGGUAAAGGCCCACCAAGGCGACGAUCCGUAGCUGGUCUGAGAGGAUGAUCAGCCACACUGGAACUGAGACACGGUCCAGACUCCUACGGGAGGCAGCAGUGGGGAAUAUUGGACAAUGGGCGCAAGCCUGAUCCAGCCAUACCGCGUGGGUGAAGAAGGCCUUCGGGUUGUAAGGCCCUUUUGUUGGGAAAGAAAAGCAGCAGGUUAAUACCCCGCUGUUCUGACGGUACCCAAAGAAUAAGCACCGGCUAACUUCGUG
rnacentral:rRNA from 1 species